rnacentral:rRNA from 1 species
GACUAUGGCCAUAUAACCCUAAAUGCACCUGAUCGCGUCUGAUCUUGGAAGCUAAGCAGGGUUGGUCCUGGUUAGUACUUGCAUGGGACGCUGCCUGCCAAUACUGGGUGCUGUAGGCU